UACGUAGGGGCAAGCGUUGUCCGGAAUUAUUGGGCGUAAAGCGCGCGCAGGCGGUUUCUUAAGUCUGAUGUGAAAUCUUGUGGCUUAACCACAAGCGGUCAUUGGAAACUGGGGAACUUGAGUACAGAAGAGGAGAGUGGAAUUCCACGUGUAGCGGUGAAAUGCGUAGAGAUGUGGAGGAACACCAGUGGCGAAGGCGACUCUCUGGUCUGUAACUGACGCUAAGGUGCGAAAGCGUGGGGAGCGAACAGGAUUAGAUACCCGCGUAGU
rnacentral:rRNA from 1 species